AAGCGCUUACAAUCAGACUUGAGUGUUUUGGUUCCCCCUUCCUUUUGGUUGGGUUAUUCCAUUUCAUCCAGGCCAACAUCAGUUUUGGUGGUUGGUUAAAGGCCCUGAGAAUGUAUCUACUUCGGUCGACUUAUAGCUCAAGGUGUCAUGCAACCUACCGGGACUGAGGAACGCGAUUCUAGGAUGUUGGCGUAAUGGUUGUCAGCGA
rnacentral:rRNA from 1 species